rnacentral:rRNA from 1 species
GACGAACGCUGGCGGCGUGCCUAAUACAUGCAAGUAGGACGCAGUUGCGAACGGGUGAUUAACGCGUCGGUAACUGCCUAUUAGAGGGGGAUAACUAUUGGAAACGAUAGCUAAUACCGCAUACUAGUAGAUGGACCUGCGUUGUAUUAGCUAGGAGGUAGGGUCAUGGCCUACCUAGGCGAGGAUACAUACCCGAUCUGAGAGGGUGAGCGGACACCCCGGGAAUGAGACACGGCCCAGAAUCCUACGGGAGGAAGCAGGAGGGAAUGUUCGGAAAUGGGGGGAACCCUGAUCGAGCAACGGCGCGUGAGUGAAGAAGGUUUUCGGAUCGUAAAGCUCUGUUGUUAAGGAAGCGGUACUUAACCAGAAAGGGACGGCUAACUACGUGCCAGUAGCCGCGGUAAUAC